rnacentral:rRNA from 1 species
UACGAAGGAGGCUAGCGUUGUUCGGAAUUACUGGGCGUAAAGGGCGCGUAGGCGGCCAUUCAAGUUAGGUGUGAAAGCCCUGGGCUCAACCUAGGAAUUGCACUUGAUACUGUUUGGCUUGAGUUCGGGAGAGGUGAGUGGAAUUCCCAGUGUAGAGGUGAAAUUCGUAGAUAUUGGGAAGAACACCAGUGGCGAAGGCGGCUCACUGGACCGACACUGACGCUGAGGCGCGAAAGCGUGGGGAGCAAACAGG